CACGAAUUCUUUCCGCUCGAGCAACAUUUGAAUAUCUUCGAUUUGACGACUAAUACCACGGUACUAUCACGGUGAUAAACAUAUCUCGAAUAUUCAAACUGAGUUUCCUGCAAAACGAGUUUCGCUACGAGGAAAUACUAUUCUAUAUGUCUAACGACUUUAUAUUUUUACGAACUUAAUUAAAUAAAUGGGAUCUAAACAAAUUUGUUUCGUCUGUUAAAGAUCGUGAUAAACGCUCUGCUUUGAAAUAUCUCUUUGAGACUUUUGGAAUCUUAAAUUUUCCAAAAGUGCAGAUCCAUAGACCGACGAUAAUAUUCGCGCAAUACGCUGACGCAGCAUUUGGCGGGACAAGAACGAAACAGCCUGUACGUUACUCGUAUUAACACGUCCUGGCUUGAAGAAACAAUCUAUGUUUGUCAAGGUGGAAGUGGAAGGUUUCUAAAUUGGCAGAGAACUGCGCGUCUUCUGAAAGAAACAACGAUGACGCAGCCGCAUCUAUGAUCUCGUUGUCCUCUACCUAGGACAUGGCAGUCUACGUUGCCUCGAUUUUAGUUGCGUCAUUCUCUAUCGCGUAACGAACUUUGUAAACAAAGCUAGAAAAAAUAGAUUUACGUGCUGGCGUAAGAUACGAAAUGAUAUAUCUACCAAUUUGUCGAUGCUUGACUAUUCAAGAUGUGCUUCUCAUGCACGUUUAUGAAACGUCGUACUGCGACGUCUUGUCAUGCAUAUCCAAAGCUUCUCUUUGUACGUCUACUUUUUUCCAAUCUUCGUUCCUCGUUUUUCUUUUCCUCUUUUAGUUUCGUUUCUCUACUCUUCUCGAAGUAUUCGCACCUCUUUGAAGAUUUCUAGUUCGCAAUAUUAUAUAUUAGCAUGAGACGCAAGAACCAACGAUAAUAUUAUGCUCCUUUGAUCUGUAAUUUCAAAGGACAUAUGGUAUAAGAAGCUUCGUUUCAGUUGCUACCUAUUUUUUCCUCUCUUUUUUUCUUUCUACUUUCUAUAACACGUUGUUUAUUCUAACUAUUCGAGCUAUUCUAACAUAUCGAUGGUUGUAUUAGAUAACGUCGAAUAUUGUUUCUCUUUUAGAUUAUACGCGAAUAAAUAUAUUUAGGUUUAUUGUAUUUUUCUUUACGUUAUGAAACAUAUUACAAAGACACGUUACAAACAAAGUCAGUGGUGUACGUUCUAUUAUAUAAAAUAGCCCAUUAAUAAUGCAUAAAUGUCGUUGUGAAAUUUAUCAGUAUACGUAUCUUCUUUUCAUGUACGUUUAUCUUUCGUCGGUCCUCGUUUUCCUAGCCUCGUUUCUUCCUUGACAUUCAUAAACACAGUAAUGAAAAGAUCGAUACAGUGAGAAGAUGAAUUUGUUAUCUAUGAAAAAUAGAUAGACGAAGUUUCUACACAUUCGAACGGUAUAAAGCGCGUGUAAAACGAUGUGUAAAAGCGUGAUGCUUUUUUAUAUAUAUUGCAGCCUAUCGCAGUAACAUAAGGAACUCAUAUCGGUUAAACGAAUGAUAAUUUUGUUUGGAAUUUAAUGUAUAAUUUAACGUAUAUACCAUUGCUCGGUUCUUCUUUCGGGACACGCAUCCAACGCGAGGCAUUUCCUUCCCAUUGCACUUUUUAAUUAAGUUUAUCCUGCAACUCGUUCCCGCGUUUCGUAUAGCUAUAAUGAUCGCCCACUUUGAUACGUAGCGUGUACAUGCGUUCCCUGAAGUCCAUUUCCUCCGAUACAAAAGUUACCCUUUGCCGCGGAAAAAUUCACUUCCUUUCUGUCUUAAUUAAAAUCGCCCCUGCUCCGACGAUUAAGAACUGAAUAUAAUCAAAUAUCUACUAUCUUCGUACGAUUGCGUCGUGCAAAAUUUACAUUUAUCGUCUGACACAUUGCUUUGAAAAAUUAUCAUGACAUUCAAGGAAAACGUUGAGAAACAUUCAGAUGAUGAAGUGUUUUCGGUAAAUUGCCUUUUUAUCCUGUUUUUUCUUAUUCUCCUUUUUAUUCCUCCACGUUAGUUGUAUCGUUUCUACCGUUUGCAAAACCAUUUUCCUUUUCAAUUUGUACGUUCUUUUUUUUUUGGAAAUAUCAAUUUAUCGAAGCUUGCGUCGAGCGCUAUAUAACUACGAGCAGUUUAAUUACAAAUAUCGACAUUUGCUGUUGUUCAGUCGUUGGAAUGUAGCGAAUAUGUUGAAGCAAGUUUAACCCUUUCAGCAGGGGGAUCGACUAUAGUAAUUUAUUUAACCGCGGAAUUAAAAAUUAACAGAGACAGAACCAGUUCCGUUCCAGGUAAUUUUAUUCCGUGUGAAUGCGAGAGGAUAGAUGAUAUAUUUAUUUUUUAAAUAGAAAUGAUACAAUUUUGAUAGUUACAGAUGUGGGCAAUUAACAGAUUAGCAGGUUAACGUAAGCAAAUUCUUGCAAAUGUAAUUAUGUUAUAAUGUCUUUUUUUGUUAAUUUUAGAAAAUUACCCGGUAAAUUAUUACGCAAAUAAGCUACUAUUAUAAUAAUCGCCCGGAGCAGUUCUUGAUAAAUAGAAGCAUUUUUCUCUGGGAAAUGUACCGUAAAAGACAUUAAUCUAUUUAGCUGCUAACAUCAUUAUCGUAAAAACCGUAUCGUAAAAUCGUAUAUACGUUUAUAAAGUUAGCAAGCGCGAGGUAACGAGAAGGAAAAUAUAGAACCACGUGUUGUAAAAACUUUUAAAUAUCUUAAAAUUUCUUAAUCCACCGUAGUGACUGUAAUAAGCAUUGGCACAAACUCUUAUUUUUCAUCAAACAUCUAUCCUUGAGUUUUACAUUCCAUUCUCAUAGUGGUAUCUAAGUUUUUUAUAAUCGUACGAAGGUUCUACAAAAUGAAACGUCUGACGUACCUGCUUAAUUAGUAUAUAAAUGCUAUAACAAAUACAAUGGUGUACCAAUAUUUAUUGUAAUCACUGCAUAUCAUGCGAUGUCAAGUAUUAAUAUCGCUUUACAGAAUGUCUGUUUACUUCGACCUAUAAUUUCUAUCAAAGUUUCAGCCUAGUUACACGGCGCAUUCUAUAUCAUUAAUACAAAAAUUUCAUAUAUGUAUAUAAUAAACAAACUUUCAUCCAUGUAUUUUAUCAAGAAUCAUCCAAACUCUAGUAACGCGCCAUUUACAGCUAAAUUUAUCCAAAUUUCCACGAAGGAAUUACAAAUCGAUUAUAUUGACCACGCUGGGUAGCUUCAUCGUAAUUUAUUAGCUGUAUGAUGAUGUUUGAGCAAUUUCAUGACCUCGUUAUAAUUCCUUUGUCGACUACACGGCUUUCUGCGAAGGCGAGGCUUUCCUGAACGAACCUGAGGCCACUUCUCCUUGCGCAACAGGUUCAAGGUCCUACCGCAACCUCUCUCGUCCUACCGCAACGUUUAUUCGCGCCGGUGUUUCCGUAUUCGACGGUCCCUCUCUUUCUACAACCUCGUCCGGUUCCUGUCCGAAACACCUGACGUGGACUUGCUCUCUCUCUUGCCCCGGGUUCCCAGUUCCCCUUUUGUUUUUCGGUCUUUCCAAAGUCGAUUUAACCCGGCGACUCGUUACAAUAUGGGAUUACUUUGGUUACGUCGUUAACGAAGUACUGGCUCAACACUGUUCGACUAUGUAAGUUUAUAAUAUAAUCAAUGGCCAAGCGUAGUGUUUUGAAACUAAUUACACUUUGUAUAAUUGUACGUUGUACUACACGUAUUUGUAAUUUCGCGCUUCGGUGUAAUUUACAUACAUAAACGUAGAGCGGUAGGGUAAGAUAUAAAAUGAGUAAUUAAUUUUGCAUGAAAAGUGGAAACAUUUAAUGAAAUAAUUAUUGGUUUCUGACAUUUGCUUUUGUUAUAUAUAUAUAACGCAAUAUUUCAAUAAUUUAGAUAAAUUAUAUAUAUGUAUAUAUACACACAUAUAUCUAAAUUAUUGGACUAUUGCGUUAUACCGUCUCCUCUCGUUUAUUGUUUUCUAUAGAUAGAUUUAAUAUUGAGCAUUGUCGAGAUUAUUGCAUUAUAUGUUUUCCCUUUGUUUGCUUUCCUUUAUCUGAACAGGUACUAUUUAGCAUUAAACGUUAUCCAGAUUAUUGCCUCACGAUCUUUCCUUUUGUUCUUGCUUCUUUUUUAAUAUGAUAGGAAUUUAACGUAGCAUUGACUUCUGAGCUAUUGGCUAGUGAAAUUCUAUUUUUACGGUAAAGUUUCGAAUGGAUUAGGAAUUUAACGAUAUCCUUUAAAUGGUCCUGUGAAUUAGGUACAAUAUCUGGAUUGACGUUACGUUUGCUUCUUAAUGAAUCCAAAUUUCUCUGUUCAAAUGGAACGAUGGUUUGUUGCACGACCGUAACAGAAGUUCCAUUAAAAAGAACCCGUUUUUUUUUUGGAAUGAUUCUUACGAUUCUUAACCGUUUGAAGAGGAAAUUCCAAUAUCGUUAGUUGAUACGUACAGUUGGUACACACGUGUACCAGGAGGGUUCAAAAGAUUUCUCAAUUUAUACAUUUUCUAUCUAUUAUUUAUUAAUCGAAUGUGUAACGUUUAACAACGUAAUACUGAAGAUGUUAUAGCUGUAUAAUUAAUUUGGAGCAAGUAGUAGUAAAUAACUUAGAUAACUCGUUAUAUCCAAUAACUGAAACAAGCAUUUAUUUAAUCUCACAUCUAUGAUAAUAUCAAUUUACUCAAACGUCCACAGUCUGCUAACGUGCAUUUAAAAAAUUUUUCCCACGCAAAUUGCCGGACAGCCGAUCUUCACGGAAAUUUACAUUUCUACAAAUAUAAGCAAAAAGAAACGGAACCUAAAUAGAAAAGUGUUCCACCUGCUAAACCUCGUAAGAGACUACUAUACCCUAGAUAUUCUAUACAUUUUUCUGAAUUAUUUGUAUUCUGCGUAUUUCUGCAUUUUCAAAUUUCUCACAAGCGCAUAAAAAUUCUCGCUCCACGAAAACAGUAACUGCCCUGGCAAAAGUAAAGAACACCGAGCGAAGCUCCGCAACGUGUAGAUUUUUCCGAGCGUUUUUGGUGUCAGGGCACGAUUGCAUCGUCUGGAAAGUUGCAGAAUAGACGCGUUCCGAGGCGACGCCUGGCCAGAGAGUUGCGACCGCUGAAAGUUCCCCCGGUUUCGUGCAUCGGUUGAUAACGCCCGUAGAGUCACGAUAUAACAGCCUUGACUUAUUUCUCUCGUUGCGGCGCAAAGAAUUUUUGCCCGGGACGUGUAAUCGCCACAGGAGAAACGCUCAUUGUACGCGAAAACAAACGUGUCGAGCGUCGUUCGAUCGAUCGACCCGCGUCUCCGAGUUUUUCCAUAUUUUUCUUUUCUCUCGUCCGUCCAGGAUGCCUGGCAGGAAAGGAUACCGGAGGAAGGAUAAAAGGCUGUGACGUUUUUCUCUAGAGUUACGAAGGCAUAACAUCGCACCGUUUUUCCCCCUUCGACACUGAUCGAUUUCGCGUCGUUCGAGGAGAAACGUCGACCAGAGUUUCCCGACGAUAAUACCGUAGGAUCAAACUCUGUUACGUUGCACGUCUGUGUUAUUCUCCUGUACAAAAAUUAAUAACUCGCAUUUAUUAUCAAUUGGACCGUUCGUUUUCGAAGCGACGUAGGUCCAUUUUCCUUUUGCUUUGAGUUAUCGAAGUAUUCGCGUUUCUAUCGGUUCAAUAAUCUUGAUAACAGGUCCGUUUAGUUUGUAUACGACUCUAUGUGUACAAGUGUAAGAUGUAAAUUCAUUAUACAAAUAAUUCUUUAGUAUUUUUUUUUUUUUGAAGAAUUAACUAAAUCAAUAUUUUUUUGACGGUUAAGAAUAUACGGAAAAUUAGUGAAUUGUACGAUUCAUUAAGUGGACCGUUCGUUUUGAAAGUGUUUCGUAGGUACAUUUUCUUUUUGUUUCGAGAUAUCAAAGUGUUUGCGUUUCCAUCGAUUGAAUCCUGAUAAGGUUUACUUCAUUUUUCCACCACUUGGUUUGUAUAGGAGGUAGAUGUGAAUUCGUUAUACAAAUAGUUGUUUUCAGAAUCAACCAGACGAAAUAUGUCUUUUUCACGAUCAUAAAUGCGCUUGCACACCGCUUUCGAAAUUAACGAGUUGCACGGUCCGGUGAAUUUUAAUUAUUUAAAAUCUACGUCUCAUGCUGUCAUCCAUUUUUGUCUAUAAAUAAGAGCGGGAAAACGAAAUGUAACGUCGUUUAAUUUCUGUAUCAUUUGUUUUUUUUAUUAUCGGUGCCUCGAUUGUUUGGACAGGCUAUACAGGUUACAGGAAAUGGAUUUACAACAUUUUCAGAAUACAUCAAUGAUUAUGCAAUUCCAUUUGUUUCAUUUGAUCGACACAAACGAACAUCGCAAUAUUUAAAUUGUAAAUUCUUUAUAAGUAAGAGGUUCGCACGAAAAUGUAUGUAAAUUUCUAAUUUUCUUGAUUUUAUCGAAAAAUCGAAAUAAAAGUGACGUAAGUAAGUAAGGUUCGAUCGUAAGUUGUUUUCCUUAGAGAACGAAAGGUAUGAGGAUAAAAUAGAUUUUUAUGGUAUUUGAAUUUUGGAUACGUAUUAUUGUAGAGGGUAUUUCAAUUUUUUUUUUUUCUACAUUUAUUUGGAUUGUCGAAUGUUAGGAUAUUGGAAGACAUCGCUAGAUCGUGGAUCUUUACAUAUCUGAAGGUGCAAAAAUGUGUACAAUGUGUAUAAAUUUAUAAAAUAUGUAAAUUAGAAUGCGCGCACAUACCUGUUAUAAUACGAGUGUGUGGCAGGUGAAAUGAAUCCCUGUUUCGGCGUGACUUCUUCAAUUUUUCCCACGGACGACUGUGGAUAUGCAUAAAAAUUCUACAUAUCAGAGAUUCAUAAGCGUGUACGUAUAAAAUAGAUCGUUUGAGUAUUCGAACACUUUUAUUAUUUCAUGCGUGAGCACAUUAAAGAAGUUUGCUAUGACACAGGUAUUUUGAACAUCGAAAAGUGUUAUACAUUUACAUAACGUUUAUACAUUUACAUAGCAUUUUCACAAGUACUAGCCUGGCAAAGUAUAGUAAAUGUAAAAGCGUCAGAGAGGAGGUUCGGAUGUUUGAGAUUUUUUAAAUGUUACGAUACUUUAACAUUUACCUUUGAGAUUCAGAGUCAAUAAUUUUCCGUUGGAAAAUAAACAAAAAAAAAAAAAAACAAAGAAAAAGGAAGAAGUUGGAAAAUGUCAUCGAGUAUAUUUUUCGUGUUUCGAAAAUGAUUGUUAAAGAUAUUGCUAUGCGCUCGCGCUAAUCAGAUAUUUUUCCAAGUAGAGCAUCGAUGACGAAGGUUCAUGGAAGCACCGCGGAUUCUACUCGCGCUUUUAAUUAAUUCCAAUCUGCUUAAUUCCCCCGAAUUUCGGCUCUUAAGUUAUUUUGCAUUAUUAACAAAGACACUAAUCUGCCACUUUCUCUAUCUAUUAGGUUGUCGUAAAAGUGUCUUUCUUUUACAGACACGUCUUUUACAACGAUGCAUCCUUGUGAUCUUAAUUUUGAUAGAACAAAAUGGAUCGUACGUAAUUCGAUUAAAUA